CGGGGUGAGUAAUGUCUGGGAAACUGCCUGAUGGAGGGGGAUAACUACUGGAAACGGUAGCUAAUACCGCAUAACGUCUUCGGACCAAAGUGGGGAACCUUCGGGCCUCACGCCAUCGGAUGUGCCCAGAUGGGAUUAGCUAGUAGGUGGGGUAAUGGCUCACCUAGGCGACGAUCCCUAGCUGGUCUGAGAGGAUGACCAGCCACACUGGAACUGAGACACGGUCCAG
rnacentral:rRNA from 1 species